rnacentral:rRNA from 1 species
AUUGAACGCUGGCGGCAUGCUUUACACAUGCAAGUCGAUCGGUAACAGGCCUUCGGGUGCUGACGAGUGGCGAACGGGUGAGUAAUGCAUCGGAACGUGCCCAGAGGUGGGGGAUAACGCAGCGAAAGCUGUGCUAAUACCGCAUGUGAUCUGAGGAUGAAAGCGGGGGACCAGGCAGCAAUGUUUGGCCUCGCGCCUUUGGAGCGGCCGAUGUCAGAUUAGGUAGUUGGUGGGGUAAAGGCCUACCAAGCCGACGAUCUGUAGCUGGUCUGAGAGGACGACCAGCCACACUGGGACUGAGACACGGCCCAGACUCCUACGGGAGGCAGCAGUGGGGAAUUUUGGACAAUGGGCGCAAGCCUGAUCCAGCAAUGCCGCGUGCGGGAAGAAGGCCUUCGGGUUGUAAACCGCUUUUGUACGGAACGAAAAGGCUCUGGCUAAUACCUGGGGCUGAUGACGGUACCGUAAGAAUAAGCACCGGCUAACUACGUG